GAUGGGCGUGUGAUAGCAGAUCCAUCAGAUCCUCAAACACUGAUUGAUCCUGUCAUGUCUGUCUCAUCUGAUCGUCUCGUCACUUCUUACUGUGUGGAUGAACUUGGUCAUGAGAUCAUCUGUGAUACUUCAGGAGUAAAUGAUUUCUCUCUCAACAUCACGCUCAUCUGAUUUCAUAUUUAAUUCAUCUUGAACACUAUAAAUGCUGCUCUAAUGCUUCUGUCUUUCAUCCCAUACAUUUUUCAUACAAUAUUAAUUUACUGCAAUAAUUUGUUCUGUAGUUUAAAAUCUGUGUCUUUUUUGUCAGCACUGAAUCAUGAAUAACGUCACAGUGUCGUGUGCAGAGAUUCAGACUCCUGUGGGGUUUGUGUACGUGAUUCUGUCUGUUUUACUGAAUCACACUGAUGAUCCUGACUGUGAGCAGAGCUGGUAUUCACAGGACGGGCGUCUGAUAGCAGAUCCAUCAGAUCCUCAGAGACUGAUUGAUUCUGUUAUUUCUGUCUCUUCUGAUCGUCUCGUCACGUCUCAGUGUGUGAAUCUGGAUCAUGAGAUCAUCUGUCAUGCUUCAAGAUUCAGACUGGAGACCGUGUUCAGAGCGACGAAUGAAACUCCAGUGACUCCAGACUCAGUGACUCCAGAUCUCAAACACUCAGAUCAGUGGUGGCUGUUUGCUCUCUUCAUCAUCAUCAUCACCAUCAUCAUCUUGAUCUGUUUCUCAAUUCCUAGAAUAUCAAAAUCAACUGCAGGCAGCAGUUCCUUUUCAGCAGAUCCUUUUCAACCUACCUAACAUUGUUCGGGAGGCAGACACACUCUGUCAGUUUAAAUCUAGAUUAAAGACCCAUCUCUUUAACCUGGCUUACACAUAACAUACUAAUACACUUCUAAUAUCCAAAUCCGUUAAAGGAUUUUUAGGCUGCAUUAAUUAGGUAAACCGGAACCGGGAACACUUCCCAUAACACCCGAUGUACUUGCUACAUCAUUAGAAGAAUGUCAUCUACGCUAAUAUUAGUCUGUUUCUCUCUUAUUCCGAGGUCAUUGCAGUCACCCGGAUCCAGUCUGUAUCCAGACCAGAUGGUGGAUCAGCACCUAGAAAGGACCUCUAUAAUUUACUGGUAUAGCAAAUUAUUUUGUGAACUCUGCUUAGAGAACCCCUGGCAUAAACUAUAAAAUAUCUCCAAAUACAUAGAACUACUUUGAAAAUAAUAUUUCAUGAGUGUCAUUCUGUGUUCAGAUGUGUUCUGAGAGGAGCGCAGAGAGUCUGCCAGUGAAAUGAUUCAGUUAAAUGAAUCUGAUUCUCUCAGGGAUCCUGAAUCUGGAGUCCGGAUGAAGUUCAGAUCAGAUGAUUCUUGUUCACUGAGUGAAUCUGAAUCUGAUUCUGAGCAGCUCAACAGCUCCAUGUUUAGAGGAUGAUCAUCAUCUGUCAGAUUGAAUCAACAUCUCAGGUCAUUUUACUCUUGUCUGAAACUCAGGGUCAGAGAGCAGCGUUCAUUGAUGGGAUUUUGUCAUUGUGAUUUGUUACACUUCUGUAUGCAUUAGCCAUUUGCACAUAUUACAUGCAUCACAGGAUAAAUAAAGCAUUUUCAACCCUAAAGUAACUUUUCUAA
ensembl:lncRNA